ACUGGGUGGGGUGGGCAUGCCUGUAAUUCCAGCAACUUGGGAGGUUGAGACAGGAAGAUCUUGAAUUCAAAGCCAGCAACUUAGUGAGGCCGUAAGCAACUCAGUGAGACCCUGUCUCUU
rnacentral:sRNA from 1 species